rnacentral:rRNA from 1 species
UACGGGGGGGGCAAGCGUUGUUCGGAAUUACUGGGCGUAAAGGGCUCGUAGGCGGCCAACUAAGUCAUACGUGAAAUCCCCCGGCUUAACCGGGGAACUGCGUCUGAUACUGGAUGGCUUGAGUUCGGGAGAGGGAUGCGGAAUUCCAGGUGUAGCGGUGGAAUGCGCAGAUAUCAGGAAGAACACCGAUGGCGAAGGCAGUUCUCUGGGCCGUAACUGACGCUGAGGAGCGAAAGCGUGGGGAGCGAACAGG